rnacentral:misc_RNA from 1 species
GUGAAUAAACAAGUGCAGGUUGUGCUGGCCUUCUUGGUAUGUGCACGCCUGCCAAUGUUUCAUUCUAUCUUCCCACCUGUGCACUAUGUGUAGAUCUGUAUGCUAUUGUCAAGUCUUUUACUAAGCUUGGUUGAGAGGAGUUGCUUGUUCCAUUGGACAAGCCCUUCUUGGGUAUGCAGGUCUAUGUUUUAUAUCAACACCAUAUGAAUGUAAUAGAAUGUGCUUUGGGCUUUUAGCCUUUUAAAACAUAUA